UUGAAGAACCAGUUCCCAUACUAUCUCUGAAGUUAAGCAAUAUCAAGCCUUGUCUGUACCUAGAUGGGUGACUGCUUGAGAAUACCAGGUGCUGUAAG